UACGGACAUAUCACGUUGAAACACCAGUUCUCGUAUGAUUACCGAAGUUAAGCAACGUUGAGCUUGGUCAGUACCUAGAUGGGUGACUGACAGGGAAUACCAGGUGCUGUAAG